AAUUANCCAAUCCGGAUACCGGGAGGUAGUGACAAGAAAUAGCNAUAGAGGGCCCGAUGGGUUUUCUAAUUGGAAUGAGAACAAGGUAAACAGCUUAUCGAGGAGCCAGCAGAGGGCAAGUCUGGUGCCAGCAGCCGCGGUAAUUCCAGCUCUGUAAGCGUAUACCCAAGUUGUUGCAGUUAAAACGCUCGUAGUCGGAAGUUGGUGGGCGAGACGGGGCGUCUUCGCGGACGGACCUGGGUCGACUGCCUUUGUGGAGAGGGGCGCUGGGCCGCUUGAGUGCGGACUGGUUGCCGCUGCCACCGUUUACUGUGAAAAAAUUAGAGUGUUCAAAGCGGGCGUUUGCCAUGAAUACCUUAGCAUGGAAUAAUAGAAUAGGACCUGUGUUCUAUUUUGUUGGUUUGUGAGGACUGGGUAAUGAUUAAGAGGGACGGUUGGGGGCAUUUGUAUUCCGGCGUCAGAGGUGAAAUUCUUGGAU
rnacentral:rRNA from 1 species